GUAGGUGGCAAGCGUUGUCCGGGAAUUAUUGGGGCGUAAAGCGCGCGCAGGCGGUUCUCUAAGUCUGAUGUGAAAGCCCACGGGCUCAACCGUGGAGGGUCAUUGGAAACUGGAGAACUUGAGUACAGAAGAGGAAAGCGGAAUUCCACGUGUAGCGGUGAAAUGCGUAGAGAUGUGGAGGAACACCAGUGGCGAAGGCGGCUUUCUGGUCUGUAACUGACGCUGAGGCGCGAAAGCGUGGGGAGCAAACAGGAUUAGAUACCCUGGUAGUCCACGCCGUAAACGAUGAGUGCUAAGUGUUAGGGGGGUUUCCGCCCCUUAGUGCUGCAGCUAACGCAUUAAGCACUCCGCCUGGGGAGUACGGCCGCAAAGGCUG
rnacentral:rRNA from 1 species